AUGGGGUUGGGGUUGGGGGUCUUGGAAAGCUUAGGGUCAAUUUUGGGGUCAAUGGAGUUGGGUUUGGGGUUAAUGGGGUUGGUCUUGGGGUUAGCGGGGUUGGGUUUGGGGGUCUUGGAAAUCUUAGGGUCAAUUUUGGGGUCAAUGGGGUUGGUUUUGGGGUCAAUGGGGUUGGGUUUGGGGUCAAUGGGGUUGGUUUUGGGGGUCUUGGAGAGGUUGGGGUUGGGUUUGGGGUCAAUGGGGUUGGGUUUCAGGAUUUUCGGGUCAAUGGAGUUGGGUUUGGGGGGUUUGGGGUCAAUGGAGUUGGGUUUGGGGUCAAUGGGGUUGGGUUUGGGGGUCUUGGAGAGGUUGGAGUUGGUUUUGGGGAUUUUGGGGUCAAUGGGGUUGGGGUUGGGGGUCUUGGAGAGGUUUGGGUUGGGUUUGGGGUCAACAGGGUUGAAGGUUUUGGGGUCAAUGGGGUUGGCCAUGGGGUCAAAGGGGUUGAAGAAUUUGGGGUCAAUGGGGUUGGCCAUGGGGUCAAUGGGGUUGAAGAAUUUGUGGUCAACAGAGUUGGCCAUGGGGUCUUUGGGGUUGAAGAUUUUAAGGUCAUUGGGGUUGGCCAUGGGGUCAUUGGGGUUGAAGGUUUUAAGGUCAUUGGGGUUGGCCAUGGGGUCAUUGGGGUCAACAGGGUUGAAGGUUUUGGGGUCAAUGGGGUUGCCCAUGGGGUCAACGUGGUCAAUGAGGUUGGUCUUGGGGUCUUUGGGGUUGAAGGUCUUGGGGUCAUCGGGGUUGGCCAUGGGGUCAACGGGGUUGGCCAUUGUGUUAUUGUGGUUGCCCAUGGGGUCAAUGGGGUUGAAAAUUUUGGGGUCAACGGGGUUGGCCAUGGGGUCAUUGGGGUCAACAGGGUUGAAGGUUUUGGGGUCAAUGGGGUUGCCCAUGGGGUCAACGUGGUCAACGAGGUUGGUCUUGGGGUCAAUGGGGUUGAAGGUCUUGGGGUCGGCCAUGGGGUCAUUGGGGUUGAAGAUUUUGGGGUCAACGGGGUUGAAGAAUUUGGGGUCACUGUGGUUGCCCAUGGGGUCAAUGGGGUCACCCCCAUGA
rnacentral:lncRNA from 1 species